CCCUUAGAUGUUCGGGGCCGCACGCGCGCUACACUGAAGGAAUCAGCACGUCCUUCUCCUUGUCCGAAAGGACUGGGUAACCCGCUGAACCUCCUUCGUGCUAGGGAUUGGGGCUUGUAAUUCUUCCCCAUGAACGAGGAAUUCCCAGUAAGCGCGAGUCAUAAGCUCGCGUUGAUUACGUCCCUGCCCUUUGUACACACCGCCCGUCGCUACUACCGAUUGGAUGGUUUAGUGAGAUCCUCGGAUUGGUCCCGGAGCGGCCUCUGGUCGUGCCGGAGUGCCGAAAAGAAUGUCGAACUUGAUCAUCUAGAGGAAGUAAAAGUCGUAACA
rnacentral:rRNA from 1 species